GUGUGUGUGAGCGAUCUGGCUGCAACAUCUAUCACCCCAUUGAUUGCCAGGGUUGAUUGUGCUGAUCUGGCUAGCUAGUCCCUUUCCUUCCUCAGAGCUCCAUGUGUGACCCUCCCAAAGCUACAUGCUCAGUCAAAAAGGACGACCUUCCCAGAAUAGAGGAGUACUGGUCGUCAGUCAAGGGCAUACAGUAGCUGUGCUCCCCUACUAGAAACUCCAAACAAGCUCUCAAAUAUAUAUGGCAUGUAUGUAUAUAUGUAUGAUUUAAGAUUAUUUUGUAUUUAAUAAAUUUGUGAUCAACAAAUAUUUGAAAAUU
rnacentral:snRNA from 1 species